rnacentral:tRNA from 1 species
GAGGGCAUAGCUUAGUGGUAAAGCGUGUGUUUAGCAAGCAUGAGGUCCUGGGUUCAACACCCAGUACCUCCA